AGGGCCUUCCAUGAACACUGAAGGUAAAUGAGGCCAGAUCCUGUCUCCUCAUCCAUUCACUGGGAUGACCUCUCUCUCUCUCUCUCUCUCUCUCUCUCUCUCUCUCUGUGUGUUAGGACCUUCCUCAAUGGGAAAAUAAACAGAUCUGUCAGAUGACUCUUCUUAAGAGUGUGCGGUGUCAGUCAGGAGCCCGACAGAUACAGGUGUCACACUCAGCCAGGAUAAGUGGGGAAGUGGGUGGGGCUGUGGAUGAGAAAGCAACAGCAAUGUGCAAGAAUCCUGGAGGCCCACAACGAGAAAGGGGAGACAAGCUGAAGUGACUGUCUCUCCCAUCUCCCAUUGUCCAAACAGGAAGGCAGAAAUCAAGGGCACCCCUGGCACAGAACACAGAGUAUGAGAAGGCCUGAGUUCGGAUCCUCAGAACUCAUGAAAAGCUGGUCUCUGCAGUAGCAUCUACAGCCUCAGCUCUUCCAGUGCCGAGGAGCAGACAGGUAGACCUGGUCUCACUGGACAGUCGGUCCAGCCCAGUCAGACUCUAAUAAGUAACAAAACCAUCUGUGGCACAUAGUUUUAAAGAAAACAAAAAACAAAAAAAAAACAAAGGGACAGACCUACCCACCUUCACCCAGCCUGAACCUUGUACUUGAUCAGGUCUCUAGGACACUCACCUACCCUGAAAAGUGGGAGAGCAGCUGGCUUGCAGCAGCACAGAUGAUGAGAAAGAGAAGAUCAGGGAAAGAGCCCAGGACCUGAGGCAGCUACAACCCAGACUCCCCCAACCCAACGAACGGGCUGAACUGGAGGCUGCUGUGAUUGAGGAAAACUCAAAAUAAACUGAAGAAAAUUUAAUGGUUUUAAAACAAAGGGAGGGCCUGCUUCUCUGGAACAUAGGCUAGGUUUGCCCAGUGGGUUCCAGCUGUCCUUUAAUCAGGCUAGCCUGGGUUUUGCUUUCGUUUUUAAGAUGAUCUAUUUUUAUUG
rnacentral:lncRNA from 1 species